rnacentral:lncRNA from 1 species
GUCAGUGCCAGGAGCGCUUGGAUUGGGAUGGGGACGGAGAAGGGUGCCUCGCUCGCCGAGCCCCGCUGCCCUUGGGGACCUGGCAAAGUCGAGGUUUCCUCACAGCGUUGAGAUUGAGACUGGGGGUCGGCAGCACUGAGAAGUGAAGGAAUAUUUGGGAGGAUCAGAAGCUUGGUCCUGAUUUUGCCAUCAACAGGAACUUGAUGACUUCAAGGGAGUCCCCAAACCCUGGGUUUCUGUUUUCUCAACUCUAACAUGAGGGGCUAGAUGCAUCUGGUUUAGUUAGUCUCCAUGAUGGUUUAGUUCGUCUCCAUGAUCCUGUGAAUUUCAGAUGUUGAAAAUCUUCGGAAAAGCCCUGAAAGAUGAACAGUGGUCUCAAAUAGUCAAGACCCCCUGCUGGGAGGAGCUUCUAUCCUGCUCUGUGGAAGAAAUGGGCAUGCCAGAUGCCUGGAAGAUCAGAGGCUCACAUUCCAGUUUAGCUCAACAAAAUAGAAGAAAAUCUCCCUUUCAAGGCUGUUGGAAGGACUACAGAUGAAAAGUAUAUAAAGUUCCCAGCAGAUGGAAAAUAUCAAAUAAAUGUCAGCUAGUAGCAGCAGCAGGAGCAAAGAUGAAGGCCGACUCCUGAGUUUUCAGACUCCACAGAUCCCAGAAUCCUUCUCUGCUCUGAGUUCU